rnacentral:rRNA from 1 species
AGAGUUUGAUCAUGGCUCAGAACGAACGCUGGCGGCAGGCUUAACACAUGCAAGUCGAACGCCCUCUUCGGAGGGAGUGGCAGACGGGUGAGUAACACGUGGGAACCUACCUAGGGGUACGGAAUAACUCGGGGAAACUCGUGCUAAUACCGUAUACGACCUUCGGGUGAAAGAUUUAUCGCCCCUAGAUGGGCCCGCGCUGGAUUAGCUAGUUGGUGGGGUAAAAGCCUACCAAGGCGACGAUCCAUAGCUGGUCUGAGAGGAUGAUCAGCCACACUGGGACUGAGACACGGCCCAGACUCCUACGGGAGGCAGCAGUGGGGAAUCUUGGACAAUGGGCGCAAGCCUGAUCCAGCCAUGCCGCGUGAGUGAUGAAGGCCCUAGGGUUGUAAAGCUCUUUCGCCAGGGAAGAUAAUGACGGUACCUGGAUAAGAAGCCCCGGCUAACUCCGUGCCAGCAGCCGCGGUAAUACGGAGGGGGCUAGCGUUGUUCGGAAUUACUGGGCGUAAAGCGCACGUAGGCGG